UUAAGCGACUAAGCGUACACGGUGGAUGCCCUGGCAGUCAGAGGCGAUGAAGGACGUGCUAAUCUGCGAUAAGCGUCGGUAAGGUGAUAUGAACCGUUAUAACCGGCGAUUUCCGAAUGGGGAAACCCAGUGUGAUUCGUCACACUAUCAUUAACUGAAUCCAUAGGUUAAUGAGGCGAACCGGGGGAACUGAAACAUCUAAGUACCCCGAGGAAAAGAAAUCAACCGAGAUUCCCCCAGUAGCGGCGAGCGAACGGGGAGCAGCCCAGAGCCUGAAUCAGUGUGUGUGUUAGUGGAAGCGUCUGGAAAGGCGCGCGAUACAGGGUGACAGCCCCGUACACAAAAAUGCACAUGCUGUGAGCUCGAUGAGUAGGGCGGGACACGUGGUAUCCUGUCUGAAUAUGGGGGGACCAUCCUCCAAGGCUAAAUACUCCUGACUGACCGAUAGUGAACCAGUACCGUGAGGGAAAGGCGAAAAGAACCCCGGCGAGGGGAGUGAAAAAGAACCUGAAACCGUGUACGUACAAGCAGUGGGAGCACGCUUAGGCGUGUGACUGCGUACCUUUUGUAUAAUGGGUCAGCGACUUAUAUUCUGUAGCAAGGUUAACCGAAUAGGGGAGCCGAAGGGAAACCGAGUCUUAACUGGGCGUUAAGUUGCAGGGUAUAGACCCGAAACCCGGUGAUCUAGCCAUGGGCAGGUUGAAGGUUGGGUAACACUAACUGGAGGACCGAACCGACUAAUGUUGAAAAAUUAGCGGAUGACUUGUGGCUGGGGGUGAAAGGCCAAUCAAACCGGGAGAUAGCUGGUUCUCCCCGAAAGCUAUUUAGGUAGCGCCUCGUGAAUUCAUCUCCGGGGGUAGAGCACUGUUUCGGCAAGGGGGUCAUCCCGACUUACCAACCCGAUGCAAACUACGAAUACCGGAGAAUGUUAUCACGGGAGACACACGGCGGGUGCUAACGUCCGUCGUGAAGAGGGAAACAACCCAGACCGCCAGCUAAGGUCCCAAAGUCAUGGUUAAGUGGGAAACGAUGUGGGAAGGCCCAGACAGCCAGGAUGUUGGCUUAGAAGCAGCCAUCAUUUAAAGAAAGCGUAAUAGCUCACUGGUCGAGUCGGCCUGCGCGGAAGAUGUAACGGGGCUAAACCAUGCACCGAAGCUGCGGCAGCGACGCUGAUGCGUUGUUGGGUAGGGGAGCGUUCUGUAAGCCUGUGAAGGUGUGCUGUGAGGCAUGCUGGAGGUAUCAGAAGUGCGAAUGCUGACAUAAGUAACGAUAAAGCGGGUGAAAAGCCCGCUCGCCGGAAGACCAAGGGUUCCUGUCCAACGUUAAUCGGGGCAGGGUGAGUCGACCCCUAAGGCGAGGCCGAAAGGCGUAGUCGAUGGGAAACAGGUUAAUAUUCCUGUACUUGGUGUUACUGCGAAGGGGGGACGGAGAAGGCUAUGUUGGCCGGGCGACGGUUGUCCCGGUUUAAGCGUGUAGGCUGGUUUUCCAGGCAAAUCCGGAAAAUCAAGGCUGAGGCGUGAUGACGAGGCACUACGGUGCUGAAGCAACAAAUGCCCUGCUUCCAGGAAAAGCCUCUAAGCAUCAGGUAACAUCAAAUCGUACCCCAAACCGACACAGGUGGUCAGGUAGAGAAUACCAAGGCGCUUGAGAGAACUCGGGUGAAGGAACUAGGCAAAAUGGUGCCGUAACUUCGGGAGAAGGCACGCUGAUAUGUAGGUGAAGUCCCUCGCGGAUGGAGCUGAAAUCAGUCGAAGAUACCAGCUGGCUGCAACUGUUUAUUAAAAACACAGCACUGUGCAAACACGAAAGUGGACGUAUACGGUGUGACGCCUGCCCGGUGCCGGAAGGUUAAUUGAUGGGGUCAGCGCAAGCGAAGCUCUUGAUCGAAGCCCCGGUAAACGGCGGCCGUAACUAUAACGGUCCUAAGGUAGCGAAAUUCCUUGUCGGGUAAGUUCCGACCUGCACGAAUGGCGUAAUGAUGGCCAGGCUGUCUCCACCCGAGACUCAGUGAAAUUGAACUCGCUGUGAAGAUGCAGUGUACCCGCGGCAAGACGGAAAGACCCCGUGAACCUUUACUAUAGCUUGACACUGAACAUUGAGCCUUGAUGUGUAGGAUAGGUGGGAGGCUUUGAAGUGUGGACGCCAGUCUGCAUGGAGCCGACCUUGAAAUACCACCCUUUAAUGUUUGAUGUUCUAACGUGGACCCGUAAUCCGGGUUGCGGACAGUGUCUGGUGGGUAGUUUGACUGGGGCGGUCUCCUCCUAAAGAGUAACGGAGGAGCACGAAGGUUGGCUAAUCCUGGUCGGACAUCAGGAGGUUAGUGCAAUGGCAUAAGCCAGCUUGACUGCGAGCGUGACGGCGCGAGCAGGUGCGAAAGCAGGUCAUAGUGAUCCGGUGGUUCUGAAUGGAAGGGCCAUCGCUCAACGGAUAAAAGGUACUCCGGGGAUAACAGGCUGAUACCGCCCAAGAGUUCAUAUCGACGGCGGUGUUUGGCACCUCGAUGUCGGCUCAUCACAUCCUGGGGCUGAAGUAGGUCCCAAGGGUAUGGCUGUUCGCCAUUUAAAGUGGUACGCGAGCUGGGUUUAGAACGUCGUGAGACAGUUCGGUCCCUAUCUGCCGUGGGCGCUGGAGAACUGAGGGGGGCUGCUCCUAGUACGAGAGGACCGGAGUGGACGCAUCACUGGUGUUCGGGUUGUCAUGCCAAUGGCACUGCCCGGUAGCUAAAUGCGGAAGAGAUAAGUGCUGAAAGCAUCUAAGCACGAAACUUGCCCCGAGAUGAGUUCUCCCUGACUCCUUGAGAGUCCUGAAGGAACGUUGAAGACGACGACGUUGAUAGGCCGGGUGUGUAAGCGCAGCGAUGCGUUGAGCUAACCGGUACUAAUGAACCGUGAGGCUUAACCUU
rnacentral:rRNA from 1 species